rnacentral:rRNA from 1 species
CAACAGGGAUUGCCCUAGUAACGGCGAGUGAAGCGGCAACAGCUCAAAUUUGAAAUCUGGCUUCGGCCCGAGUUGUAAUUUGCAGAGGAUGCUUCUGGCGCGGUGCCUUCCGAGUUCCCUGGAACGGGACGCCACAGAGGGUGAGAGCCCCGUAUGGUCGGACACCAAGCCUGUGUGAAGCUCCUUCGACGAGUCGAGUAGUUUGGGAAUGCUGCUCUAAAUGGGAGGUAAAUCUCUUCUAAAGCUAAAUACCGGCCAGAGACCGAUAGCGCACAAGUAGAGUGAUCGAAAGAUGAAAAGCACCUUGAAAAGGGGGUUAAAUAGUACGUGAAAUUGUUGAAAGGGAAGCACUUAUGACCAGACUUGGGCCGGGCGGCUCAUCAGGGGUUCUCCCCUGUGCACUCCGCCCGGCACAGGCCAGCAUCGGUUUUCGCGGGGGGAUAAGACCGUCGGGAACGUAGCACCCUCCGGGGUGUGUUAUAGCCCGGCGGACGAUACCCUCGCGGGGACCGAGGUUCGCGCUCCGCAAGGAUGCUGGCGUAAUGGUCAUCAGUGACCCGUCUUGAAACACGGACCAAGGAGUCGUCCAUUAGAGCGAGCGUUUGGGUGUAAAACCCGCACGCGUAAUGAAAGUGAACGCAGGUGAGAGCUUCGGCGCAUCAUCGACCGAUCCUGAUGUUCUCGGAAGGAUUUGAGUAAGAGUUUUAACGGACGGACCCGAAAGACAGUGAACUAUGCUUGUAUAGGGUGAAGCCAGAGGAAACUCUGGUGGAGGCUCGCAGCGGUUCUGACGUGCAAAUCGAUCGUCAAAUAUGAGCAUGGGGGCGAAAGACUAAUCGAACU